GAUCCGGUGGUUCUGAAUGGAAGGGCCAUCGCUCAACGGAUAAAAGGUACUCCGGGGAUAACAGGCUGAUACCGCCCAAGAGUUCAUAUCGACGGCGGUGUUUGGCACCUCGAUGUCGGCUCAUCACAUCCUGGGGCUGAAGUAGGUCCCAAGGGUAUGGCUGUUCGCCAUUUAAAGUGGUACGCGAGCUGGGUUUAGAACGUCGUGAGACAGUUCGGUCCCUAUCUGCCGUGGGCGCUGGAGAACUGAGGGGGGCUGCUCCUAGUACGAGAGGACCGGAGUGGACGCAUCACUGGUGUUCGGGUUGUCAUGCCAAUGGCACUGCCCGGUAGCUAAAUGCGGAAGAGAUAAGUGCUGAAAGCAUCUAAGCACGAAACUUGCCCCGAGAUGAGUUCUCCCUGACUCCUUGAGAGUCCUGAAGGAACGUUGAAGACGACGACGUUGAUAGGCCGGGUGUGUAAGCGCAGCGAUGCGUUGAGCUAACCGGUACUAAUGAACCGUGAGGCUUAACCUUACAACGCCGAAG
rnacentral:rRNA from 1 species